UCAAGGUUAGAUCUUUUUCACUCAAGAUCUCUAAGGAAGCAGACGCUCUAGAAAUUCUGUAUAUCCACCCAGAACAUCAAAAGUAUUAAGGCCUCGUGGCCAAGAAAAAAAAAAUUAUUAAUCUUGGAUAAUUUUGUCCAUCCCCGCCGCUUUUGCCGCAAAACGCUGGCAUUAGCAGAAUACUUCAAAGUGCCGUCCAGGCAAGGUGUCCACUUAUAUAUACAGAGGAAAAAAUAAUCUUUGCUACCAGCCAACUGGCUAAGGCGACGACCGACAGCAGCAGCAGGGAGCAGACAACAAAUAAAUAAUAAAUUAAAUAAUUUAUAAAAUAAUAAAUGUAACAGAAAUAGAAGUGUGUGCAUAGCGAGUGCAGAUCGCUUUCAAAAAUCAAACAACAUUGCGGCUGAAUAUCAGUUAAAAUUAUUAAAAUACUGAAAGCCCAAAAUCAUAUGAGCAUAGUGAAAAAAAAGAGUAAUUAAAAAGCAUAAUUAAGUUUGGUGAACAACGUGAGCAAAAGACAAAAAAAACCACUGAAGCAGUGAAAUAGACCUUGUGUGUGUGUAAAAAUAUUAAAAGAAAAAAAAAAAUUAAUAAAAAAAAAA